GCCGGGAUAGCUCAGCUGGGAGAGCAACAGACUGAAGAUUUAAUUGGCUUCUGGAGGUCCCGUGUUCAAUCCACGGUCCUGGCA
rfam:Laetiporus sulphureus 93-53 unplaced genomic scaffold LAESTscaffold_43, whole genome shotgun sequence.